GCAACGCAGCGGGAUCGGGCGAGGCCGUUGCCAAGUCCCGGUUACCAUGGAGAGCGUCACUUGGAGCUGAGCGCGGCGCAGCCCCGCGUCUCUUCCUCUUUCCGAAAAUGGAACCAGUGUCUCUCCAAAGCUUACUUACACACUGUUCAAAGACUCUCAGCAUCUAACUUAGUGGUGACCACUUAGUAAUGACUGAAGCUCCCUUAUUAUGUCACUUGGAACUCUGAACUCACCUGUCUACAGUGCUGCUUAAAAAGGAGCCUCCCGUUGGCAAUAACAAUGGAGGCAAAUCUCUUGAUGUCUUCUGGAAUCAUUCGUGCCACCAAGACAAAC